GGGGUGCGGGGUUCAGUUCGACGAUGACGAGCCAGGCAGCCGACCUUUGCAUCAUGAACUGGCGUAGUUUGAUCUUGCCCGGUGCUGGCCCUGCACAAAUGGCAUCUUCAGCUCACCAUGCUACCUCCGCCGAUCAUCUUACAUGUCAAGCACCAAACCGACACCGCGGCUUCUGCUGCUGGUGCUAGUGUGGAUGUUUAGCAAGUUCAACUACCAGUCUACGCCGAGUUCAGGUCAUUGGCAAAAAUAUAUUCCAUGUGGAGCCCCUGCUGGUCGCCCUCAGCCACGAGCUCAUCCACCACAAUUGCCGACAGCCGUCUGAGUCGAGCGCUGACCGCAGUCCAAGUAGAAUGGUGGCCACCAUCUUCACCAAGAGCUGCACAACGGUCUAGUUCAAUAAAACAAAAGAUGGAAGGUCAGAUAUGGCACCGAGAUAAGUUAGAAAAAAUGGUUUCAACAUAAUGCAAUUUGGAGGAACCACAACGCCCAGGCCAUUCACAGCCGCCACCCCAGUCUGUUCACCAUCGCCAACCGAGGCCGUUCAACGACGCGUCGGGCAGAGGUUCGUUUGCCUCAUUGAUUCAUUCAAAAAAUAGGAAAGUU